CCUACGGGAGGCAGCAGUGAGGAAUAUUGGUCAAUGGCCGUAAGGCUGAACCAGCCAAGUCGCGUGAAGGAAGAAGGAUCUAUGGUUUGUAAACUUCUUUUAUAGGGGAAUAAAGGUAUCCACGUGUGGAUAUUUGCAUGUACCCUAUGAAUAAGCAUCGGCUAACUCCGUGCCAGCAGCCGCGGUAAUACGGAGGAUGCGAGCGUUAUCCGGAUUCAUUGGGUUUAAAGGGUGCGCAGGCGGGCCUUUAAGCCGGCGGUGAAAUCGCGGGGCUCAACCCCGCCGAGCCGUCGGAACUGGGGGCCUUGAGUGCGGCGGAGGCAUGCGGAAUGCGCGGUGUAGCGGUGAAAUGCAUAGAUAUCGCGCAGAACCCCGAUUGCGAAGGCAGCGUGCCGUGCCGCCACUGACGCUGAGGCACGAAAGCGCGGGGAUCGAACAGGAUUAGAUACCCGGGUAGUC
rnacentral:rRNA from 1 species